AUUAGAUACCCUGGUAGUCCACGCAGUAAACGAUGAAUGCUAGAUGUCCGGGUCGAAUGAGACCUGGGUGUCACAGCGAAAGCGUUAAGCAUUCCACCUGGGGAGUACGCCGGCAACGGUGAAACUCAAAGGAAUUGACGGGGGCCCGCACAAGCGGAGGAACAUGUGGUUUAAUUCGAUGAUACGCGAGGAACCUUACCCGGGCUCAAACGUGGAAGGAAUGAGUGUGAAAGCAUUCAGUCCUCCGGGACUUUCCACGAGGUGCUGCAUGGUUGUCGUCAGCUCGUGCCGUGAGGUGUCGGCUUAAGUGCCAUAACGAGCGCAACCCCCAUCGACAGUUGCUAACAGGUAAAGCUGAGGACUCUGUCGAGACUGCCGGCGCAAGCUGUGAGGAAGGCGGGGAUGACGUCAAAUCAGCACGGCCCUUACGUCCGGGGCGACACACGUGUUACAAUGGCAGGGACAGCGGGAAGCCAUCCGGCGACGGAGAGCGGAACCCGAAACCCUGUCUCAGUUCGGAUUGGAGUCUGCAACUCGACUCCAUGAAGCUGGAUUCGCUAGUAAUCGCGCAUCAGCCAUGGCGCGGUGAAUACGUUCCCGGGCCUUGUACACACCGCCCGUCAAGCCAUGGAAGCCGGGAGUGCCUGAAGUACGUGACCGUAAAAGGAGCGUCCUAGGGUAAAACCGGUGACUGGGGCUAAGUCGUAACACGGUAACAAGGGCG
rnacentral:rRNA from 1 species